AGGCAUGAGAACAGCCCUCACAGCUCAGAGAGGGACAUGAGAACAGCCUCACAGCUCAGAGAGGCAUGAGAACAGGCUCACAGCUCUGAGAGAGCAUGAGAACAGGCUCACAGACUCAGAGAGAGGCAUGAGAACAGCCUCACAGCUCAGAGAGGGACAUGAGAACAGCCUCACAGCUCAGAGAGGCAUGAGAACCAGGCUCACCAGCUCUGAGAGAGGCAUGAGAACAGCCUCACAGCUCUGAGAGGGACAUGAGAACAGCCCUCACAGCUCUGAGAGAGGCAUGAGAACAGCCUCACAGCUCAGAGAGGCAUGAGAACAGCCUCACAGCCUCUGAGAGAGGCAUGAGUAACAGCCUCACAGCUCAGAGAGGACAUGAGAACAGGCCUCACAGCUCAGCAGAGGCAUGAGAACAGCCUCACAGCUCUGAGAGAGGCAUGAGAACAGCCUCACAAGCUCUGAGAGAGGCAUGAGAACAGCCUCACAGCUCAGAGAGGGACAUGAGAACAGGCCUCACAGCUCAGAGAGGCAUGAGAACAGGCCUCACAGCUCAGAGAGGACACUGAGAACAGCCUCACAGCUCAGAGAGGGACAUGAGAACAGCCCUCACAGCUCAGAGAGGCAUGAGAACAGCCUCACAGCUCAGAGAGGGACAUGAGAACAGCCUCACAGCUCAGAGAGCGACAUGAGAACAGCCUCACAGCUCUGAGAGAGGCAUGAGAACAGCCCUCACAGCUCAGAGAGGGACAUGAGAACAGCCUCACAGCUCUGAGAGGGAAUGAGAACAGCCUCACAGCUCUGCUCAGAGAGGCAUGAGAACAGCCUCACAGCUCUGCUCACAGAAGUGAGGACUACACUGACAUCCUAGCCAGCACCUUCAGAUUCACUCAAACAUUCUCUGGGGAGGUGAUUGUGGGUAAAAUGGACUGUAUUUUAAACAUUUGACCUUAAUGCCACACACACACACACACACACACACACAGACACACACACACACACACACACACACACACACACACACACACACACA